rnacentral:ncRNA from 1 species
ACAAAAGCUGUGAUAAGGACAAGAUUUACUUAAACGCUUUUUCAGAGAGUGCUCUGUAUUCUGCAAUGAGCAUAUAAGUGCCUGUAAGUUACCACCUUGGAGCUGUGUGCCGUGUUCAAGGCGUGCCGGUGAACACCGUUAUAUGUAUCUAAAGGGUAUGGCUUGUGCCGUACUGAAUUUGGGUGGAACCACGAGUUGUAGCCUCGUCCCAUUU